rnacentral:rRNA from 1 species
UAGUAUUCAAUUGUCAGAGGUGAAAUNCUUGGAUUUAUUGAAGACUAACUACUGCGAAAGCAUUUGCCAAGGAUGUUUUCAUUAAUCAAGAACGAAAGUUAGGGGAUCGAAGACGAUCAGAUACCGUCGUAGUCUUAACCAUAAACUAUGCCGACUAGGGAUCGGAUGAUGUUAAUUUUCUAAUGACUCA